rnacentral:rRNA from 1 species
GACGAACGCUGGCGGCGUGCUUAACACAUGCAAGUCGAACGGAAAGGCCCUGCUUUUGUGGGGUGCUCGAGUGGCGAACGGGUGAGUAACACGUGAGUAACCUGCCCUUGACUUUGGGAUAACUUCAGGAAACUGGGGCUAAUACCGGAUAGGAGCUCCUGCUGCAUGGUGGGGGUUGGAAAGUUUCGGCGGUUGGGGAUGGACUCGCGGCUUAUCAGCUUGUUGGUGGGGUAGUGGCUUACCAAGGCUUUGACGGGUAGCCGGCCUGAGAGGGUGACCGGCCACAUUGGGACUGAGAUACGGCCCAGACUCCUACGGGAGGCAGCAGGGGGGAAUAUUGCACAAUGGGCGGAAGCCUGAUGCAGCAACGCCGCGGGCGGGAUGACGGCCUUGGGGUUGUAAACCGCUUUCGCCUGUGACGAAGCGUGAGUGACGGUAAUGGGUAAAGAAGCACCGGCUAACUACGUG